rnacentral:rRNA from 1 species
GACGAACGCUGGCGGCGUGCUUAACACAUGCAAGUCGAACGGACAGGCCCUGCUUUUGUUGGGUUCUCGAGUGGCGAACGGGUGAGUAACACGUGAGUAACCUGCACUUGACUUUGGGAUAACUUCAGGAAACUGGGGCUAAUACCCGAGAGGAUCUCCUGCUGCAUGGUGGGGGUUGGAAAGUGUCGGCGGUUGUGGCUGGACUCGCGGCUUAUCAGCUGGUUGGUGGGGUAGUUGCGUACCAAGGCUUUGACGGCUAGCCUGCCUUGGAGAGUGAACGGGGACAUUGGGACUGAGGUACGGAGCAGACUGCUACGGGACGCAACAGUGGGGAAUAUUGCACAAUAGGGGGGAGUGUGAUGUAGCAGCGUCGGGUGCGGGAUGACGGGUUUCGGGUUAUGAACCGCUUUCGACUGUGACGAAGAGGGAGUGACGGUAAUGGGUCAAGAAGCACCGGCUAACUACGUG